ACCAAAAUCACGAGGAUGUUUGUUUUCGCGUGACAGAGGGAAUUUUAAAUAACAAACUACACUCGUAGAAGGACAGGGGAUGGGUCUUCGGACACGGGUUCGACUCCCGUCUACUCCAUAA
rnacentral:tmRNA from 1 species